rnacentral:rRNA from 1 species
CGGAAUGGAUAAGCGCUGAAAGCAUCUAAGCGCGAAGCCAACUUCAAGAUAAGAUUUCCCACCGCAAGGGUAAGACCCCAGAAAGACUAUCUGGUUGAUAGAUCGAAGGUGUAAGUGCAGCAAUGUAUUUAGCUUAUCGAUACUAAUAGGUCGAGGACUUGACCAA